rnacentral:rRNA from 2 species
CGUGGGUAACCUGCCUGUAAGACUGGGAUAACUCCGGGAAACCGGAGCUAAUACCGGAUAGUUCCUUGAACCGCAUGGUUCAAGGAUGAAAGACGGUUUCGGCUGUCACUUACAGAUGGACCCGCGGCGCAUUAGCUAGUUGGUGAGGUAACGGCUCACCAAGGCGACGAUGCGUAGCCGACCUGAGAGGGUGAUCGGCCACACUGGGACUGAGACACGGCCCAGACUCCUACGGGAGGCAGCAGUAGGGAAUCUUCCGCAAUGGACGAAAGUCUGACGGAGCAACGCCGCGUGAGUGAUGAAGGUUUUCGGAUCGUAAAGCUCUGUUGUUAGGGAAGAACAAGUGCAAGAGUAACUGCUUGCACCUUGACGGUACCUAACCAGAAAGCCACGGCUAACUACGUGCCAGCAGCCGCGGUAAUACGUAGGUGGCAAGCGUUGUCCGGAAUUAUUGGGCGUAAAGGGCUCGCAGGCGGUUUCUUAAGUCUGAUGUGAAAGCCCCCGGCUCAACCGGGGAGGGUCAUUGGAAACUGGGAAACUUGAGUGCAGAAGAGGAGAGUGGAAUUCCACGUGUAGCGGUGAAAUGCGUAGAGAUGUGGAGGAACACCAGUGGCGAAGGCGACUCUCUGG